rnacentral:rRNA from 1 species
CACGUAGGGCGCAAGCGUUGUCCGGAAUUAUUGGGCGUAAAGAGCUCGUAGGCGGUCUGUUGCGUCCGCUGUGAAAACUCGGGGCUUAACCCCGAGCCUGCAGUGGAUACGGGCAGACUAGAGGUAGGUAGGGGAGAAUGGAAUUCCUGGUGUAGCGGUGAAAUGCGCAGAUAUCGGGAGGAACACCGGUGGCGAAGGCGGUUCUCUGGGCCGAUAUUGACGCUGAGGAGCGAAAGCGUGGGGAGCGAACAGG